rnacentral:rRNA from 1 species
CAAUAGCGUAUAUUAAAGUUGUUGCAGUUAAAAAGCUCGUAGUUGAAUCUCUGGCGGGCGCGCCGGUCUUCCAAGUGUUGUACUGGGCGCAGUCCGCCAUCCUUGUGGAGAGGGCUCGCAUUGAGUUGCGUGUCGGAUCUGCAUCAUUUACUGUGAAAAAAUUAGAGUGUUUAAAGCAGGCUGUCGCUUGAAUACAUUAGCAUGGAAUAAUGAGAUAGGACUUCGGUCUAUUUUGUUGGUUGCGAACCGAGGUAAUGAUUAAUAGGGAUAGUUGGGGGUAUUCAUAUUUAAUUGUCAGAGGUGAAAUUCUUGGAUUUAUGAAAGAUGAACAACUGCGAAAGCAUUUACCAAGGAUGUUUUCAUUA